ensembl:snRNA U2 U2 spliceosomal RNA
AUUGCUUCUCGGCCUUAUGGCUAAGAUCAAGUGUAGUAUCUCUUCUUAUAGGUUUAAUAUUUGAUACGUCCUCUAUCCGAGGACAAUAUAUUAAAUGGAUUUUGGAGCUAGGAGUUGGAAUAGGAGCUUGCUCCGUCCGCUGCUGUCAUCAACCUGGUAUUGUAGUACCUCCAGGGAUGGUGCGUAAGAA